AGAAGUACAACAGCAUUUACACUCCGUUACGAAAUCGAAGCAUUUGUAAAAUAAUCUGUCAAAUAUUUUAUUAUUAUUUGAUGCCCUUUGGUACUAGCUAGUUCUAUCAACGGAAGACAAAAAACACAAUAAGGCACCCCCUGUCAGCGAUCGGUAUUACACUCGAUGGUAUAAAAGGGAUAUCAAGGGUGCGGCUUGUGAAGACCAGUGCGUUCUUCAGCAUUCAAAUAGUUUUUUACAGAACCUGUGUGAUCACCCUGGCAGAGACUCACCCUAUUCUUCAGAAUGGCAGGACAAUCAAGAGUAUCAACUAUCAAAUAAGCGCUGGCUGCAGUCGCCUACAGAACAGAGUGUCUGAGAAGUCGAAGACUUAAUGUGCUACUACAUUUUUAAAAUAAUGUUAUAUAAAUCUGGGAGGGCAACUUGUGCAGGUGGGGAGGAGGAGUACACCACUUACAGCUGCAUAAGGAGUCGGCUAUUGGAGGUCAAUGAGGUUAUUCUUGAAAGGCCAAAACUUUUACUGGGAAAGCCUUCCACAGAGAUACAUUGCUGUCAUCCUCCUUAAAAUAGAGAGCAAGACGGUCACUAACGGUCUCCUGAGCAGAGGAGUACGAGAGCGUCAUCUCUAAACGGACCAGCAGCACCCAGCCUGAGCCAUGCUGAGGAAUGAAGAGUUCACAGGGACUCGUCACACUCACCUCAGCUGGAGUGACUUUUCCUGGGGCAGCUUUGUUGGAGGGGUCCCUCGUCUCCUUCAGACCCAGCCAGACCUAGGUACCUGCAUAAAGCAUACCCCUGUCCAGAUGUGGAUGACAGUGGAGAUGGAGGUUCUCUAGCCUCUACCAGGAGUAGGUAGUCCAGUGCAAAUACUUUUGUUUGUUUUGUUGUAACAUGGAAGAAAUUGAGCCAGUACGUUUUAGGAGAUACUUUUUUUAGCUCUUAAUGAUUGAUGGAAUGUGAGAUUUAAUUUUCUAAAGGAGGAAAUUCGUAAGAUAUUUCCAUUACGUCGGUCAUUGAUUAUGUACCAAAAGAACUUAAAUUACACAAUCCACCCUGUUUUAAGAAAAAUAAUGUUUAUUUAAAUUUGUGUUCCAUUUAUAAUCAUUUAACUGUCAAAAGAAUAAUGGUCCAAAACUAAAUCUAUUUCUUCACAUCUGGGGCUUUACUCAACAGCAGCCGACUUUACCUGCACUAAUUCACAACUAUCUCUAAAGCUUAAUAUGGUGGUUUAGUCUUCACACAAACCAUUCAGGUUUAGUAGGACCAGACUCAUCAUCUCUGUGGAUACAGAUAUCUAUGCUUCAAGUACCAUAAUAAUACAGCGUGAUACACAAAAGCCUACAAGGCAGUCUUAGACUGCAUCCCAAAUGAUACCCUAUUUGAUAUAUAUAUAGACCACUACUUUUGAACAGAGAAACUAAAAGUAGUGCACUAUAUUUGUA